rnacentral:rRNA from 1 species
UGCGUAGGGUGCAAGCGUUAAUCGGAAUUACUGGGCGUAAAGCGUGCGCAGGCGGUUGUGCAAGACAGAUGUGAAAUCCCCGGGCUUAACCUGGGAAUUGCAUUUGUGACUGCACGGCUAGAGUGUGUCAGAGGGGGGUAGAAUUCCACGUGUAGCAGUGAAAUGCGUAGAUAUGUGGAGGAAUACCGAUGGCGAAGGCAGCCCCCUGGGAUAACACUGACGCUCAUGCACGAAAGCGUGGGGAGCAAACAGG